GAUUGUAUCGGUUUACCCUUCUUAUGUGGAAUUUGAUCUACUUGCUGUUAUUUGUUGAUCUGAGGUUGAUGAAGAUAUACUGUUGGUUCUGGCUGUUGAAUAUGAUCUGUUUAGUAUAGGUUGGUUGGUUUGCUGCUAGAUUGAAGUUUCGAUGGUUCGGUUGGGAUUAAAAAGGAGUUGUUUGUAGCUGCUAGUUUUGCUUAGUUUAGAGUUACUUG
rnacentral:lncRNA from 1 species